ACGAGGGGGCCGGGCACAAAAUGGCGGCCUCCGUUUCACAGAGCGGAGGGAUGCGCAGCGCACAUGCGCAGCGCUCGGCGCGCCGUCGCCCGAGAGAGGGACGCGGAGCCGCGGGCAUGGCGGCGGGCGCGCUCGGGAUCGCGGUGUUGUUGGCGGGGCUCUGCGCGGCUCGGGCGCAGGAAUCCUGCACACUUCCAGACAACGUUCAGUAUGCAGAGCUCAUGGAGGACUUCAGCACAAUGAGCAGCUUUCCUGUUGGAACCAGUGUGAGUUACACCUGUCGCCCUGGCUAUAUGAGGAUCCCUGGGAUGCCUGUUGAUCGAACGUGUGGCAAAAACUUGAUGUGGUCACAAAUAGAGACGUUCUGUACAGCAAAAAGAUGUAUUCAUCCUGGAGAAUUAGAACAUGGCUUUGUUAAUGUGACAGAUCUUACAUUUGGUUCAGCAGCUACUUUUUCUUGUGAAAAAGGGUACAGGUUAUAUGGAAAUAGUCAAAUUUCCUGUGUAAUUAAAGAUAAAGGCGUUGACUGGAAUGGAGGUCUUCCUGUCUGUGACAAGGUUCCUUGUGCUCCUCCUCCAAGUAUAGCCAACGGGCACUACACUGAAGCAGACAACUAUGUUUAUCAAACAGCAGUAACCUAUAGCUGUAAUGAUGUCCAGAAAGGAGAAGAUCCCUUCUCGCUGGUUGGUUCACCUUCUAUUUUCUGCACAGUUGAUGAGAACUCAAAUGGUGUUUGGAGUGGACCACCUCCACAAUGUAAAGUGGUCAUCUGUGAAAACCCAGAUGUAGAAAAUGGAAGAAAAUUAUCUGGGUUUGCAUCUCACUAUACCUAUGGGAGCACAGUUAUGUUUGAAUGUGAUCCAGACUAUGUCUUGUUUGGGAACGAUGUAAUUACUUGUCAAGAAAACAGCACCUGGUAUCCAUCAAUACCAACUUGUAAAAAAGUUAGUGAAGAUUCGUGUGGUGCCCCAAAGAUCUCCCAUGGAGAAGUAGUUCCACCAAAAUCUGUGUACUUAAGAGGAGAGUCUGUUCAGAUAAGGUGCAUUCCUCACUGUGCUUUUCCUGAUGGUGGUACAGAGGUCACAGUAACGUGCCAAGGACAAAACACGUGGAGUUCUGAACCAAACUGUGCCUGUGGUCCUGAACCUUCUGAUUCCUCUCCAGUCAUCAGCCAUGGUAGAAUAAUUGAAGGGAAAAAAUCUGUAUAUUCCAUAGGGGAUUCAGUUACAAUUGAAUGUUAUGCAGGCUACACAUUGCAUGGUGCAGCUCGUAUUGAGUAUAUUGGAGAAGGCAGAUGGAGUCCAGAAGUGCCAAUCUGCAAGUUAAGUGCUUAUAUCAUUGCCAUCAUCUGUGUGAUCGUGGCAGUUGUGGUGUUCCUGGCAGCCUUCUGGAUCUUUAAGAAAUUCAUUUCACAGGAAGGCUUGUGCCCUCAUCAGCUCAACCCCACCGAGCAGAGACAGCAACCAACAGCAAAAUCGGACUGCGUCACAGAUGUAACAUGACCAUCGGCAAAACAAGUGCAGAAAGAUAUCAUGGCUGUCUCAUCGUUCAGACAGCCUUCUUUCAGGAUCACAGAAGAAUGAGCUGGGACCACCAUUGCUGCUGCUAUUCCAGUUGCUCCCCUGCUCUGCGGAACUGGCGCUGCAGGAGGCAAGGAUGCUCCAGACAGCGAUGGGCUCAGUGAGUCAGGAGGGGCUGUGAUGACUGCAGCACGAGCUGAACCCCCCCUGGAAUCCGGCAGGAAAGGAGAGGAGGCAAGGAAGGUGCCCCGAGCAGCUCGCAGUGCAGCUCGUGCUUAACCACUGCCUAAGGAAGAGGAAAAGAAGGAAGGAAAGGAAGAAAUAAAAGCCCCGAAGCCAAGCUCUUUCCGUGGUGGAGCUUGGCAGCUCUGACACGUCAUCGUGACAACGGCACAGCAAAGCGAAACCUUCCCGGCGCCGGCGCGGGGCAGGCAGGAGGCGGGGACCGAACCCGGGGACCGAACCCGGGGCAGCAGACAGACCGCACCGCAGGGCCGGACCGGGCCGGGAGCCCCCGGCACUUUGAGACGAGCGCAGCCAACAUUCGGAUUUGACACCAGGCUCUCGGCCAAUCCGAGAAGGCUUUUCACCUGCCAUCGCCUCCUCCGCCAAUCAGACGGCGUGUUUGGGCCGAGAGCCCUCCCCGGCCAAUCGGGAGCCGGCUGAGCCACUUAGUUAAUGAUGCAGCAGUACAGGGAAGACUAUCACAUGUGAGCUGGAAGGCUGCCAACAUGGAGACACGGAGAGAGCAAGGUAAACAACUUUCCAACGCCAAAAUGAUGACAUUUAAUCCCUAAAUGCUAGCUUCCCGUCUCGACUCAUCCUUAACCCCUUUCAGCUGGUGUGGAAGCGUCUGGAAGGCACCGUGUACCUGUCCCCAAUGCUUUUAAAAACUGGCCGAUGUGCCCUGCAAUGAUCACUGCGUCACCGUUUGCCACUUUCUGAACUACGCAGUGACAAAGCCCUGAUCCCAGCUCACGGGGUGGCUGUUAACCCCUGCACCCAGCCCUGCCUCCACGCCAGCCCUCGGGGGGACGGCAGGGAAUAAAAAGCCUGAGCAAAACACGAAAACAGCAGUCUGCAAAGUUGUCAUCUCUCUCCCACGACUGCUGCCCUCCUCUGCAUUACAGCAAUGCUGGCAAGAGUGGCAUUCGUACAACCUGUGCCGACGUUCCAUUGAGAAAACAGCUCUGACGCAGAGCAGAGCAAUCAUACCCAGCCGAAAUAAUAAUGAAGGCACUUGGGGAGCUGAACUUAGGGACGAUGGGGGAAGGGGACGCCCUGCAAAGCAUUACAAAACGUAGAUGCAGCUCCAGCCCCAUCCUGAUCAAAGGGUACGUACGUGGGAAAGACGAACCGGACCGAGGAGCUCUGCCCGUGCACCAGCUGCGCAGCGUUCAGCCCUCCGCUUGCUGUGUAGCGCCGCAGAAUAGAAGGUUCCAGAAAUUUCCUUUCCGUUAACCCUUUCGGCGUCUGCCCACUCUCCCUCCCCGCGGGAUUAAGUGCGCCGGGUCUCCAGCAUCGUCAAUGGGCGAAGCCUCCUACGCCAACCGAGCCCAGAUACGUUCUCUAAAUGACACCGUCUGGUGACAGGAGCUCCGUCCCUGGUGUUGCAUCUGAAGAGCCUGAGCUAUUUUGGGAUUUGUCUGUACUACACUGAAAAUGACACCUGUUACACACAGACAUAAAUGAGAAGAAUUGUGAGCUCUUGGUUUCUCAGAUACAGUUCUACCAUGGAAAAAAGAUAGGAGCUGGGGAUGUGGGAGGGCAGCGUGGGGUGAGGAGCUGGCCCUUGUGAACUGAAUUGUCAGCAGUACAGGGAGCACAAGGCUUGUUGUAUCUGAUGCAGACCUCCCUGUGACCAAGAGCUUGAUCAACGAAAUGCUGCAAGAUGGGGUUUCUUACACGACCAAACGCAUGGGAUUUCAAGCCUUACAGAUCUGCUCUGUGGCCAAAGCUGCAAGCGUUAACUGUUUCAGUUAAUUGUAAGAGUGCUUUGGCUACUUAAAUGAGUCACUCAGCAGUGAUGCUCUGAAGUAGGCCAGCACUUUGUGCAAGGUUGCGCAGUCAGUUUCCGUUACUCCUGAGUUAUCUCAGAAGCUCAACCAGCACAGAGGCAGAGAGGAUUUCUGUGCUCCCCAUUGCUGUGUCUGCCUGCAGCCCAUCUGAUCUGCAGUGCCCACGGGUGCCAGCCCUGUUCAGACCACCCUGCAGCCCCCAGGCACUGAGCAUGGCAGUGGGAUGGACAGAGCCUGAGAAGUUGGGACAGCUGAUGGGCAUGCUUGGCUCCCAGCAACGCUGGUAUAUUAAGAAAAUAAAAUGGAGCUUUGGUUUAUUUCAAA